GGGAUGUUAGACCAGAUUCGAGCCGCAUUGUAUAUGUAUAUGUCGAUUUUAGCUCGCAAAUGCAAUAUGUACACGAAAUGUUUCGGUAAUUACGGAUGUCUUAUACAUAGCAAUCAAUUCAUUUGAUAUUCAGAAAACGUAAGAGUUACACGCCAACUCUCGAGAAGCUUGGAAGCCUAAGAUCUCCCUUUCUGGAAGAUCAUUUCCAGUUUCCAUUUACGAAGUUCCGUCAGCAACCUGUCGCGCCAGAUUUCAGUAACUGCCAAUGGAAAACGACGUGAGGUAAUAGCAACGAGAGGAUUGGCGUCGAAUAAAUCGGUCAGGUUCAAGGAAACUGUCGUUAACAUGAACAACAAUCGAUCAACCUAGGAAUCGAACAAUCUAGGAAUACUUG